rnacentral:rRNA from 1 species
UGCAGUCGAACGGCAGCACAGGAGAGCUUGCUCUCUGGGUGGCGAGUGGCGKACGGGUGAGGAAUACAUCGGAAUCUACCUUUUCGUGGGGGAUAACGUAGGGAAACUUACCCUAAUACCGCAUACGACCUACGGGUGAAAGUGGGGGACCGCAAGGCCUCACGCGAUUAGAUGAGCCGAUGUCCGAUUAGCUAGUUGGCGGGGUAAUGGCCCACCAAGGCGACGAUCGGUAGCUGGUCUGAAAGGAUGAUCAGCCACACUGGAACUGAGACACGGUCCAGACUCCUACGGGAGGCAGCAGUGGGGAAUAUUGGACAAUGGGCGCAAGCCUGAUCCAGCCAUACCGCGUGGGUGAAUAAGGCCUUCAGGUUGUAAAGCCCUUUUGUUGGGAAAGAAAUCCUAUCGGUUAAUAACCGGUGGGGAUGACGGUACCCAAACAAUAAGCACCGGCUAACUUCCUGCCAGCAGCCGCGGUAAUACGAAGGGUGCAAGCGUUACUCGUAAUUACUGGGCGUAAAGCGUGCGUAGGUGGUGGUUUAAGUCUGCUGUGAAAGCCCUGGGCUCAACCUGGGAAUUGCAAUGGAUACUGGAUCACUAGAGUGUGGUAGAUGGAUGCCGAAUUUCUGGUGUAGCAGUGAAAUGCGUAGAGAUCAAAACGAACGUCCGUGGCGAACGCGGCAUCCUGGGGCCAACACUGACACUGAGGCACGAAAGCGUGGGGAGCAAACAGGAUUAUAUACCCUGGUACUCCACGCCCUAAACGAUGCGAACUGGAUGUUGGGUGCAACUUGACACCCACUAUCGAAGCUAACGCGUUAACUUCGCCGCCUGGGGAGUACAGUCGCAUACUGAAACUCAACGAAUUGACCGGGGCCGGCACAUGCUGUGGAGUAUGUCGUUUAAUUCGAUGCAAC